GUGUGUGUGUGUGUGUGUGUGUGUGUGUGUGUGUGUGGCUGCGUGUUGCACAUGCACAUACACAUGUGUCCUCGCUC
rnacentral:pre_miRNA from 1 species